rnacentral:lncRNA from 1 species
AACAUAAGUCUGCCACUGCAGCUGCCGACGUCAUAUCCAGGUGUUGACACACGACUGACUGCCUUCAUCAUAUCGCCCUCUAGCAUGCGAAUUACCUGAGACAUGCGAGGUCUUAAAUUGGGAUCCCGUUUAAUGCAUAGAGAGGCAGCAUUCAUCAUGCAAUGAAUCUCAUGUGCUGAAUAACGGUUUCCUAACCGAGGGUCGACUAAGUCAUUAGUUAGACCUUCUUCUAACAAUGGC